UGGAGAGGGUGAAGAACAUCAGCUUGGUUCAGAUCCCACGUCUUCCACUUUUGGUUGUGACUUUGGGCAAGUUCUUUAUUCAUCUGCUCCAAGGCUCAUUUCCCUGAUUGCAAAUAUGUGUUCCAGGUGUGAUGACUUAGCCUCCGCGUUUUGAAGAUAUCACCUUUGCUGCUUAGUCCCUUCCAUGUGGCUUACCACCGCCACGGUUCCAGAAAAAUAUGAUGGUGAGCCAUCUGGGUGAAAAUCCAGCGAGAAAGUGGAGCCAGAGAGGUUGGAGGACAAUGAUUUCCUUCACUCUGAUCCCCUGUCUUCCUUUGGAAAUGAAAUAUCCUCCCCUCCUUUAUAAAAGAGAAAGAGGGAAAGAAAGAGAAAGCCAGUCAAACUGGUAUUGCCAAGGCAUUUUUUUUUAUUCCCAACAACUUCAUUGCUGCCUCCUAGUGAAAGUUUUAGAAUUGAAAAAAGACCAUUGACUGGGGAGGAUUUGGGGAUUGGGUGGAAGAAACUGAAUUUGCACAGACUCACAAACUCUUUCUGAGAUUGUCUCUGUCAGUUUCUGAUUGGAUAUAUUUGUGAGCACAGGUGUAUUACUGAGGCCACAAGGAAAAUACAGAACCCACGCAGAUUCUACUGAUCAAGGUACACUUUUCUGUGGGAGCUCACAAUCAAGAGUUGCCA